CCUACGGGCGGCAGCAGUGAGGAAUAUUGGUCAAUGGGCGCGAGCCUGAACCAGCCAAGUCGCGUGAAGGAUGACUGCCCUACGGGUUGUAAACUUCUUUUAUAAAGGAAUAAAGUCAGGCACGUGUGCCUUUUUGUAUGUACUUUAUGAAUAAGGAUCGGCUAACUCCGUGCCAGCAGCCGCGGUAAUACGGAGGAUCCGAGCGUUAUCCGGAUUUAUUGGGUUUAAAGGGUGCGUAGGUGGGUUGUUAAGUCAGUUGUGAAAGUUUGGGGCUCAACCGUAGAAUUGCAUUUGAUACUGGCAGUCUUGAGUAGAGUAGAGGUAGGCGGAAUGCGUGGUGUAGCGGUGAAAUGCUUAGAUAUCACGAAGAACUCCGAUUGCGAAGGCAGCAUACUAAACUGCCACUGACGUUGAGGCACGAAAGUGUGGGUAUCAAACAGGAUUAGAUACCCUAGUAGUC
rnacentral:rRNA from 1 species